rnacentral:rRNA from 1 species
UACGUAGGGUGCAAGCGUUGUCCAGAAUUAUUGGGCGUAAAGAGCUCGUAGGCGGUCUGUCGCGUCUGCUGUGAAAACUCAGGGCUUAACCCUGAGCUUGCAGUGGGUACGGGCAGACUAGAGUGCGGUAGGGGAGACUGGAAUUCCUGGUGUAGCGGUGAAAUGCGCAGAUAUCAGGAGGAACACCGGUGGCGAAGGCGGGUCUCUGGGCCGAUACUGACGCUGGAGGAGCGAAAGCCGUGGGGAGCGAACAGG